rfam:Glycine soja cultivar W05 scaffold1242_32, whole genome shotgun sequence.
GUUACAAAAAAUGUUCACUAUCACGUAUCAUGUUUUGAUUGGAUAUCAAUUUCAUGGAAGAUGAAAUGUAUUGUUAUUUUCAUUGACCAAUCAUAACAUGACACAUGCCAAUCAUUAUUC